rnacentral:rRNA from 1 species
CCUACGGGUGGCUGCAGUGAGGAAUAUUGGUCAAUGGUCGGGAGACUGAACCAGCCAAGCCGCGUGAGGGAGGAAGGUACAGAGUAUCGUAAACCUCUUUUGUCAGGGAACAAAGACUGGGACGCGUCCCCGGAUGAGUGUACCUGAAGAAAAAGCAUCGGCUAACUCCGUGCCAGCAGCCGCGGUAAAACGUAGGGGGCGAGCGUGGACCGGAAUGACUGGGCGUAAAGGGUGCGUAGGCGGCAUAAUAAGUUAGAAGUGAAAUACCCAGAGCUUAACUCGGGUGCUGCUUCUAAGACUGGUGAGCUUGAGUGCGGGAGAGGUUAAUGGAAUUCCUAGUGUAGCGGUGGAAUGCGUAGAUAUUAGGAGGAACACCAGAGGCGAAGGCGAUUAACUGGACCGUAACUGACGCUGAGGCACGAAAGUGUGGGUAGCAAACAGGAUUAGAUACCCCUGUAGUC